rnacentral:rRNA from 1 species
AUAGCGUAUAUUAAAGUUGUUGCAGUUAAAAAGCUCGUAGUUGAAUUUCUGGCCAGCGCUGUUCUCGGCUCUCUGAGUCGGUUCAGUGUUUGGUCAUCCGUAUGGGAAGCUAGCUCGGCCUUCACUGGUCGGCUAGUGGAUCAUACACUUUACUUUGAAAAAAUUAGAGUGUUUCAAGCAGGCAAUUGCUUGGAUACUUCAGCAUGGAAUAAUGGAAUAGGACUUUGACCUAUUUGUUGGUUUCUUCGAGGUCAAGGUAAUGAUUAAUAGGGACAGUUGGGGGCAUUCAUAUUUAAUAGUCAGAGGUGAAAUUCUUGGAUUUAUGAAAGACGAACAACUG